rnacentral:rRNA from 1 species
GACAGAGGAUGCAAACGUUGCUCGGAAUUACUGGGCGUAAAGCGCAUGUAGGCGGUCUUGUAAGUCGGACGUGAAAGCCCGGGGCUCAACCCCGGAAGCGCGCUCGAUACUGCUUGACUUGGGUUCUGAAGAGGAGAGCGGAAUUCCCGGUGUAGAGGUGAAAUUCGUAGAUAUCGGGAGGAACACCAGUGGCGAAGGCGGCUCUCUGGGCAGAUACCGACGCUGAGAUGCGAAAGCGUGGGAAGCAAACAGG